rnacentral:sRNA from 1 species
CUAGAUCGAAAGAAAGUCCUUUGGUAAUGACGUGUCAUACAUUCUAGUCAUCAAAGACACCAUUUUCUGGGCCUGAAGUGUUCUGCUGGUUUUUGGAGGAAUGAGAAUCCAAUCUCUCAUAAGCUGGAUUCAGAAAAUAGGUCAUCGAUGAAACAUCUGUAUGGAUUAUUUCACUAUAAUUCUAUGAUGCUUGGACUUGAAUCGCUUCCAGAUCCCACGGACACCUGGGAAAUUAUAGAGACCAUUGGUAAAGGCACCUAUGGCAAGGUCUACAAGGUAACUAACAAGAGAGAUGGGAGCCUGGCUGCAGUGAAAAUUCUGGAUCCAAUCAGUGAUAUGGAUGAAGAAAUUGAGGCAGAAUACAACAUUUUGCAGUUCCUUCCUAAUCAUCCCAAUGUUGUAAAGUUUUACGGGAUGUUUUACAAAGCGGAUCACUGUGUAGGGGGACAGCUGUGGCUGGUCCUGGAGCUGUGUAAUGGGGGCUCAGUCACCGAGCUUGUCAAAGGUCUACUCAGAUGUGGCCAGCGGUUGGAUGAAGCAAUGAUCUCAUACAUCUUGUACGGGGCCCUCUUGGGCCUUCAGCAUUUGCACAACAACCGAAUCAUCCACCGUGAUGUGAAGGGGAAUAACAUUCUUCUGACAACAGGAGGAGGAGUUAAGCUCGUUGACUUUGGUGUUUCAGCUCAACUCACCAGUACACGUCUGCGGAGAAACACAUCUGUUGGCACCCCAUUCUGGAUGGCCCCUGAGGUCAUUGCCUGUGAGCAGCAGUAUGACUCUUCCUAUGACGCUCGCUGUGACGUCUGGUCCUUGGGGAUCACAGCUAUUGAACUGGGGGAUGGAGACCCUCCCCUCUUUGACAUGCAUCCUGUGAAAACACUCUUUAAGAUUCCAAGAAAUCCUCCACCUACUUUACUUCAUCCGGAAAAAUGGUGUGAAGAAUUCAACCACUUUAUUUCACAGUGUCUUAUUAAGGAUUUUGAAAGGCGACCUUCCGUCACACAUCUCCUUGACCACCCAUUUAUUAAAGGAGUACAUGGAAAAGUUCUGUUUUUGCAAAAACAGCUGGCCAAGGUUCUCCAAGACCAGAAGCAUCAAAAUCCUGUUGCUAAAACCAGGCACGAGAGGAUGCAUACCAGAAGACCUUAUCAUGUGGAAGACGCUGAAAAAUACUGCCUUGAGGAUGAUUUGGUCAACCUAGAGGUUCUGGAUGAGGAUACAAUUAUCCAUCAGUUGCAGAAACGUUAUGCAGACUUGCUAAUUUACACAUAUGUUGGAGACAUCUUAAUUGCCUUAAACCCCUUCCAGAAUCUAAGCAUAUACUCUCCACAGUUUUCCAGACUUUAUCAUGGGGUGAAACGCGCCUCCAAUCCCCCCCACAUAUUUGCAUCAGCAGAUGCUGCUUACCAGUGCAUGGUUACUCUCAGCAAAGACCAGUGCAUUGUCAUCAGCGGAGAGAGUGGCUCUGGGAAGACAGAAAGCGCCCACCUGAUUGUUCAGCAUUUGACUUUCUUGGGAAAGGCCAAUAAUCAGACCUUGAGAGAGAAAAUUCUACAAGUCAACUCCCUGGUGGAAGCCUUUGGGAACUCAUGCACUGCCAUCAAUGACAACUCGAGCCGUUUUGGAAAAUAUCUGGAAAUGAUGUUUACACCAACUGGAGUUGUGAUGGGGGCAAGAAUCUCUGAAUAUCUCCUUGAAAAAUCCAGAGUUAUAAAACAGGCAGCGGGAGAGAAAAAUUUUCACAUAUUUUACUAUAUUUAUGCUGGUCUUCAUCACCAAAAGAAGCUUUCUGAUUUCAGACUUCCUGAGGAAAAACCUCCUAGGUACAUAGCUGAUGAAACUGGAAGGGUGAUGCACGACAUAACUUCCAAGGAGUCUUACAGAAGACAAUUCGAAGCAAUUCAGCAUUGCUUCAGGAUUAUAGGGUUCACGGACAAAGAGGUGCACUCAGUGUACAGAAUUUUGGCUGGAAUUUUGAAUAUUGGGAACAUUGAGUUUGCAGCUAUUUCUUCUCAACAUCAGACUGAUAAAAGUGAGGUGCCCAAUGCUGAAGCUUUGCAAAAUGCUGCCUCUGUUCUGUGCAUCAGCCCCGAAGAGCUACAGGAGGCCCUCACCUCCCACUGUGUGGUCACCCGGGGCGAGACCAUCAUCCGUGCCAACACUGUAGACAGGGCUGCGGACGUUCGAGACGCUAUGUCCAAAGCCCUGUAUGGGAGGCUCUUCAGCUGGAUUGUGAAUCGCAUUAAUACACUCCUGCAGCCAGACAAAAACAUAUGUAGUGCAGGAGAUGGAAUGAAUGUGGGGAUCUUGGAUAUCUUUGGAUUCGAGAAUUUUCAGAGAAAUUCAUUUGAGCAGCUCUGCAUAAACAUUGCCAAUGAGCAAAUCCAGUACUACUUCAAUCAGCACGUUUUUGCUCUUGAGCAGAUGGAAUAUCAGAAUGAAGGCAUUGAUGCUAUACCCGUGGAGUAUGAGGACAACCGCCCGCUCUUGGACAUGUUCCUCCAGAAACCCCUGGGACUGCUUGCACUUUUGGAUGAGGAAAGUCGGUUUCCCCAAGCAACUGACCAGACCCUGGUUGAUAAAUUUGAAGAUAAUCUACGAUGCAAAUACUUCUGGAGGCCCAAAGGAGUGGAACUGUGCUUUGGCAUUCAGCAUUAUGCUGGAAAGGUAUUAUAUGAUGCUUCUGGGGUUCUUGAGAAGAAUAGAGACACUCUCCCUGCCGAUGUGGUUGUGGUCCUGAGAACGUCAGAAAACAAGCUUCUUCAGCAGCUCUUCUCAAUCCCUCUGACCAAAACAGGUAAUUUGGCCCAGACAAGAGCUAGGAUAACAGUGGCCUCAAGAUCUUUGCCUCCACAUUUCAGUGCUGGGAAAGCCAAGGUGGACACUCUGGAGGUGAUACGGCAUCCGGAAGAAACCACCAACAUGAAGAGGCAAACUGUGGCUUCUUACUUCCGGUAUUCUCUGAUGGACCUGCUCUCCAAAAUGGUCGUUGGACAGCCCCACUUUGUGCGCUGCAUUAAACCCAAUGAUGACCGAGAGGCCCUGCAGUUCUCUCGAGAGAGGGUGCUGGCCCAGCUCCGCUCCACAGGGAUUCUGGAGACAGUCAGCAUCCGCCGCCAGGGCUAUUCCCACCGCAUCCUCUUUGAAGAAUUUGUGAAAAGGUAUUAUUACUUGGCAUUCAGAGCACAUCAAACACCUCUUGCUAGCAAAGAGAGCUGUGUGGCUAUCUUGGAAAAGUCCAGAUUAGAUCACUGGGUGCUGGGAAAAACAAAGGUUUUUCUCAAAUAUUACCAUGUUGAGCAAUUAAAUGUGCUGCUUCGAGAAGUCAUAGGCAGAGUGGUUGUGCUACAGGCAUAUACCAAGGGGUGGCUUGGAGCCAGGAAAUACAAAAGAGUCAGAGAGAAGAGAGAGAAGGGAGCCAUUGCCAUCCAGUCAGCCUGGAGAGGAUAUGAUGCUCGGAGGAAAUUUAAGAAAAUAAGCAACAGAAGAAAUGAGUCUGCUGCUCAUAAUCAAGCAGGGGACACUUCAAACCAAAGCAGUGGGCCACAUUCCCCCGUCGCAGCGGCUACCAGGGGAAGUGCCAAGGUUCAAGACUGCAGCGAGCCUGCUGACCAUAAAGUUCUCAGGGGCUCUCUAGAUCGUAGAAGCCAUUCACAAGCAGAAUCCAACAAUGGCCAUGCACAGACUUCAAGCAACUCUCCUGCUGUCACAGAGAAAAAUGGGUGAGUGUUAUCUGUAAAAGUUCCCUGUUGUAAACUCAGGUGCUCCAUGGUAAUGGAUAAUGAAACAAGUAUUUCUACCACUAUGGUAUUUUGGUGAACUGGAGAGAGUGGAACCAAAAAGUGUUUCCAGGACUGGGCAUGGUGGCUCAUGCCUGUAAUCCCAGCACUUUGGGGGGGCCGAGGUGGGUGGAUCACCUGAGGACAGGAGUUCGAGACUAGCAUGGCCCACAUGGCAAAACCCCGCCUCUACUAAAAAUACAAAAAUGAGCCGGCCAUGGUGGCAUGUGCCUGUAAUCCCAGCUACUCAGGAGGCUGAGGCAGGAGAAUCACUUGAACCCUGGAGGUGGAGGUUUCAGUGAGUCAAGAUUGUGCCACUGCACUUCAGUCUGGGCAACACAGCAAGACUCUGUCUCAAAAAA